GUGGUCUGGGGAAAGGCUCCUGUGUUGUUGAACAUGCCCAACAGGGAGUAUAGCCCUGUAGCAGGCAACCACAACCUGACCUAAAGUGAAUUCCCUGGAGUUUUUCCUGGAUUUUGAAUUUGCCAUAACAGGUGUGAACAUUCUAGCAUCAGUUUUAUGAUCAUAUAUGACACCGCAAAAACAA